rnacentral:snRNA from 1 species
CCCUCAGUAGGAGCUUAGGC